CCUACGGGAGGCAGCAGUGGGGGAUAUUGGACAAUGGGGGGAACCCUGAUCCAGCGACGCCGCGUGAGUGAAGAAGUAUUUCGGUAUGUAAAGCUCUGUCAGCAGGGAAGAAAGAAAUGACGGUACCUGACCAAGAAGCCACGGCUAACUACGUGCCAGCAGCCGCGGGAAUACGUAGGGGGCAAGCGUUAUCCGGAAUUAAUGGGUGUAAAGGGAGCGUAGACGGUUAAGUAAGUCUGGAGUGAAAGGCCGGGGCCCAACCCCGGGACUGCUCUGGAAACUAUUGAACUUGAGUGCAGGAGAGGUAAGCGGAAUUCCUAGUGUAGCGGUGAAAUGCGUAGAUAUUAGGAGGAACACCAGUGGCGAAGGCGGCUUACUGGACUGUAACUGACGUUGAGGCUCGAAAGCGUGGGGAGCAAACAGGAUUAGAUACCCGUGUAGUC
rnacentral:rRNA from 1 species